rnacentral:rRNA from 1 species
UUUUGGACAAUGGGCGAAAGCCUGAUCCAGCCAUGCCGCGUGUGUGAAGAAGGCCUUCGGGUUGUAAAGCACUUUCGGACGGAACGAAAUCGCGCGGGCGAAUACCCCGUGUGGAUGACGGUACCGUAAGAAGAAGCACCGGCUAACUACGUGCCAGCAGCCGCGGUAAUACGUAGGGUGCGAGCGUUAAUCGGAAUUACUGGGCGUAAAGCGUGCGCAGGCGGCGUCGCAAGUCAGGCGUGAAAUCCCCGAGCUCAACUUGGGAAUUGCGCUUGAAACUACGGCGCUGGAGUGUGGCAGAGGGAGGUGGAAUUCCACGUGUAGCGGUGAAAUGCGUAGAGAUGUGGAGGAACACCGAUGGCGAAGGCAGCCUCCUGGGCCAACACUGACGCUCAUGCACGAAAGCGUGGGGAGCAAACAGG